rnacentral:rRNA from 1 species
AUGACGGGACCUGACUAAGAAUCCCCGGCUAACUACGUGCCAGCAGCCGCGGUAAUACGUAGGGGGCAAGCGUUAUCCGGAUUUACUGGGUGUAAAGGGAGCGCAGACGGCGAUGCAAGUCUGGAGUGAAAGCCCGGGGCUCAACCCCGGGACUGCUUUGGAAACUGUAUGGCUAGAGUGCUGGAGAGGCAAGCGGAAUUCCUAGUGUAGCGGUGAAAUGCGUAGAUAUUAGGAAGAACACCAGUGGCGAAGGCGGCUUGCUGGACAGUAACUGACGUUCAGGCUCGAAAGCGUGGGGAGCAAACAGGAUUAGAUACCCUGUUAGUCCACGCCGUAAACGAUGAAUACUAGGUGUUGGUGGGCAAAGCCCAUCGGUGCCGCCGCAAACGCAAUAAGUAUUCCACCUGGGGAGUACGUUCGCAAGAAUGAAACUCAAAGGAAUUGACGGGGACCCGCACAAGCGGUGGAGCAUGUGGUUUAAUUCGAAGCAACGCGAAGAACCUUACCAAGUCUUGACAUCGUAGCGAUCGGAACUUAACCGUUCCUUCCCUUCGGGGCGCUAUAGACAGGUGGUGCAUGGUUGUCGUCAGCUCGUGUCGUGAGAUGUUGGGUUAAGUCCCGCAACGAGCGCAACCCUUAUCCUCAGUAGCCAGCAGUAAGAUGGGCACUCUGAGGAGACUGCCAGGGAUAACCUGGAGGAAGGUGGGGAUGACGUCAAAUCAUCAUGCCCCUUAUGAUUUGGGCUACACACGUGCUACAAUGGCGUAAACAAAGGGAAGCGAGAGGGUGACCUGGAGCAAAUCCCAAAAAUAACGUCCCAGUUCGGACUGUAGUCUGCAACCCGACUACACGAAGCUGGAAUCGCUAGUAAUCGCAGAUCAGAAUGCUGCGGUGAAUACGUUCCCGGGUCUUGUACACACCGCCCGUCACACCAUGGGAGUCAGCAACGCCCGAAGUCAGUGACUCAACCGCAAGGAGAGAGCUGACGAAGGCGGGGCAGGUAACUGGGGUGAAGUCGUAAAAGGGUAACC